rnacentral:rRNA from 1 species
AUUGAACGCUGGCGGCAGGCCUAACACAUGCAAGUCGAGCGGGGUUUUCGGACCUAGCGGCGGACGGGUGAGUAAUGCGUAGGAAGCUACCCGAUAGAGGGGGAUACCAGUUGGAAACGACUGUUAAUACCGCAUAGUGUCUACGGUCCAAAGUGUGGGACCUUCGGGCCACAUGCUAUCGGAUGCGCCUACGUGGGAUUAGCUAGUUGGUGAGGUAAUGGCUCACCAAGGCGACGAUCCCUAGCUGGUUUGAGAGGAUGAUCAGCCACACUGGAACUGAGACACGGUCCAGACUCCUACGGGAGGCAGCAGUGGGGAAUAUUGGACAAUGGGCGCAAGCCUGAUCCAGCCAUGCCGCGUGUGUGAAGAAGGCCUUCGGGUUGUAAAGCACUUUCAGUAGGGAGGAAGCGUUGUGUGUUAAUAGUACACAGCGUUGACGUUACCUACAGAAGAAGCACCGGCUAACUCUGUGCCAGCAGCCGCGGUAACAC